CAGUUGAAUGAAGACCGUGCCGUAAACCGACACAGGUGGGUAGGAUGAGAAUUCUAAGGCGCUUGAGAGAACUCAGGAGAAGGAACUCGGCAAAAUAGCACCGUAACCUCGGGAAAAGGUGUGCCCUUUGUAUGUGUAGCGCCUCGCGCGUGAAGCAGAAUAGGGUUGCAAUGAAAUGGUGGCUGCGACUGUUUAAUAAAAACAUAGCACUCUGCAAACACGAAAGUGGACGUAUAGAGUGUGACGCCUGCCCGGUGCCGGAAGGUUAAAUGAUGGGGUGCAAGCUCUUGAUUGAAGCCCCGGUAAACGGCGGCCGUAACAAUAACGGUCCUAAGGUAGCGAAAUUCCUUGUCGGGUAAGUUCCGACCUGCACGAAUGGCGUAACGAUGGCCACACUGUCUCCUCCUGGGACUCAGCGAAGUUGAAAUGUUUGUGAAGAUGCAAUCUCCCCGCGGCUAGACGGAAAGACCCCGUGCACCUUUACUGUAGCUUUACAUUGGACUUUGAUAACAUUUGUGUAGGAUAGGUGGGGGGCUUUGAAGUGGGUUCGCCAGAAUUCAUGGAGCCAACGUUGAAAUACCACCCUGAUGUUGUUGAGGUUCUAACCUAGAUCCAUUAUCUGGAUUGGGGACCGUCUAUGGUAGGCAGUUUGACUGGGGCGGUCUCCUCCCAAAUUGUAACGGAGGAGUACGAAGGUACGCUAGGUACGGUCGGAAAUCGUGCUGAUAGUGCAAUGGCAAAAGCGUGCUUAACUGCGAGACUGACAAGUCGAGCAGAUGCGAAAGCAGGUCAUAGUGAUCCGGUGGUUCUGUAUGGAAGGGCCAUCGCUCAACGGAUAAAAGGUACGCCGGGGAUAACAGGCUGAUUCCUCCCAAGAGUUCAUAUCGACGGGGGAGUUUGGCACCUCGAUGUCGGCUCAUCACAUCCUGGGGCUGUAGCCGGUCCCAAGGGUAUGGCUGUUCGCCAUUUAAAGUGGUACGUGAGCUGGGUUUAAAACGUCGUGAGACAGUUUGGUCCCUAUCUGCCGUGGGCGUUGGAAGUUUGAGUGGACCUGCUCCUAGUACGAGAGGACCGGAGUGGACGCACCUCUGGUGUACCGGUUAUGACGCCAGUCGUAUCGCCGGGUAGCUAUGUGCGGAAGAGAUAACCGCUGAAAGCAUCUAAGCGGGAAACUCUCCUCAAGAUGAGACUUCCCGAGGGUUUAACCCUCCUAAAGGUUCGUCGAAGACUACGACGUUGAUAGGUCGGGUGUGGAAGCAUAGUGAUAUGUUAAGCUAACCGAUACUAAUUGACCGUGAGGCUUGAUCCU
rnacentral:rRNA from 1 species